UACGUAGGGUGCAAGCGUUAAUCGGAAUACUGGGCGUAAAGCGUGCGCAGGCGGUUUUGUAAGUCUGUCGUGAAAUCCCCGGGCUCAACCUGGGAAUUGCGAUGGAGACUGCAAGGCUAGAAUCUGGCAGAGGGGGGGGGGUAGAAUUCCACGUGUAGCAGUGAAAUGCGUAGAGAUGUGGAGGAAUACCCGAUGGCGAAGGCAGCCCCCUGGGUCAAUACUGACGCUCAUGCACGAAAGCGUGGGAGCAAACAGG
rnacentral:rRNA from 1 species